GUGUGCGUGUGUGGGCAUGUGGUGGAAGUGAUGCAGGGGGGCCGCCUGGUGGAUGAUCGCUGGAGGGCGUGACCAGGGACGCCGGGAUCCUCACACCUGUCGGAGAUUGUUUCAUCUCCGAAGAGGCUUAAGAGUGGAGUCAGCAACACAUCGAUGCCAGAUUGUUAACCAGUAAUGACAACCUCCUCGUGAUGUCCUGGAUCAACCCCCGAGGCUUAGAGCUCCUGGCUGUACCUGACCCUCUUACCCCUCGCUGGUUGCCCACCUCGAUCUGCCCCGGUAAGCUGAGGUCCGCAGCUGUCCGCCCUGCGACGCCGUCCCCUGGUUCCCACCUACACCGGCUGGUUCCGCAGCAGAUCCCCAUACCCGAAACGAACCCAGGAAGUCCCAGUAUCCACCCCCACUUACAUGCCGCCUGACAUAGUAAUACCGGUCCCGCUCAUUCAGAACCCAAACAUCCCACAGACCUUUACUCAUCAUUCAUCCUUUCUUCCAGCCGGUUCCUGUGCUGAGUUCCAAGAACCCUGCUGAAGCUGUAUUGUCUUGUUGUUUUCCUAUGUCUGUUACUACCCAAUAGUAAGUCCCGCCUACUCCUCACAACUCUUUGGACUCACUACUGCCCAGUUC